rnacentral:rRNA from 1 species
AUGUUAGCGGCGGACGGGUGAGUAACACGUGGAUAACCUACCUAUAAGACUGGGAUAACUUCGGGAAACCGGAGCUAAUACCGGAUAAUAUUUUGAACCGCAUGGUUCAAAAGUGAAAGACGGUCUUGCUGUCACUUAUAGAUGGAUCCGCGCUGCAUUAGCUAGUUGGUAAGGUAACGGCUUACCAAGGCAACGAUGCAUAGCCGACCUGAGAGGGUGAUCGGCCACACUGGAACUGAGACACGGUCCAGACUCCUACGGGAGGCAGCAGUAGGGAAUCUUCCGCA